rnacentral:rRNA from 1 species
UACGUAGGGUGCGAGCGUUAAUCGGAAUUACUGGGCGUAAAGUGUGCGCAGGCGGCUUCGCAAGUCGAGUGUGAAAUCCCCGAGCUUAACUUGGGAAUUGCGCUCGAAACUACGGAGCUGGAGUGUGGCAGAGGAAGGUGGAAUUCCACGUGUAGCGGUGAAAUGCGUAGAGAUCGGGAGGAAUACCGGUGGCGAAAGCGACUCUCUGGACGGCAACUGACGCUGAGGCACGAAAGCGUGGGGAGCAAACAGGG